GACGAACGCUGGCGGCGUGCUUAACACAUGCAAGUCGAACGGAGUGGCGAACGGGUGAGUAACACGUGGGUGAUCUGCCUUGCACUUCGGGAUAAGCUUGGGAAACUGGGUCUAAUACCGGAUAGUGCAAGAUGAGAUCGCGGCCUAUAAGCUUGUUGGUGGGGUAAUGGCCUACCAAGGCGUCGACGGGUAGCCGGCCUGAGAGGGUGUACGGCCUCAUUGGUACUGAGAUGCUGCCCAGACUCCUACGGGAGGCAGCAGUGGUGAAUAUUGCACAAUGGGCGGAAGCCUGAUGCAGCGACGCCGCGUGGGGGAUGAAGGCCUUCGUGUUGUAACCUCCUUUCGACAGGGACGCUGUACCUGUAUAAGAAGCACCGGCUAACUACGUGCCAGCAGCCGCGGUAAUUC
rnacentral:rRNA from 1 species